AUGAACGCUAGCUACAGGCUAACACAUGCAAGUCAGGGGCAGCAUUGGGAUAGCUUGCUAUCCAGAUGGCGACCGGCGCACGGGUGAGUAACGCGUAUCCAACCUUCCCUAUAGUAGAGAAUAGCCCGGCGAAAGUCGGAUUAAUGCUCUAUGUUGUGUUUUGAGGACAUCUGACGAACACCAAAGGUUCACCGCUAUAGGAUGGGGAUGCGUCUGAUUAGCUUGCUGGCGGGGUAACGGCCCACCAAGGCGACGAUCAGUAGGGGUUCUGAGAGGAAGGUCCCCCACAUUGGUACUGAGACACGGACCAAACUCCUACGGGAGGCAGCAGUGAGGAAUAUUGGUCAAUGGGCGAGAGCCUGAACCAGCCAAGUAGCGUGCAGGAUGACUGCCCUAUGGGUUGUAAACUGCUUUUAUCAGGGAAUAAAGUGCGGCACGUGUGCCGUUUUGUAUGUACCUGAUGAAUAAGGACCGGCUAAUUCCGUGCCAGCAGCAGC
rnacentral:rRNA from 1 species